UACAGAGGCCUCGAGCGUUAGGCGGAAUCACUGGGCUUAAAGCGCGUGUAGGCGGACUCCUAAGUGUCUUGUGAAAUCCCACGGCUCAACCGUGGAACUGCUGGGCAUACUGGCGAUCUUGGGCCAACUAGGGGCAACUGGAACAAGCGGUGGAGCGGUGAAAUGCGUAGAUAUCGCUUGGAACGCCAAAGGUGAAAACAGGUUGCUGGGGUUGUGCCGACGCUGAGACACGAAAGCCAGGGGAGCAAACGGG
rnacentral:rRNA from 1 species